rnacentral:rRNA from 1 species
AUUGAACGCUGGCGGCAGGCCUAACACAUGCACGUCGAGCGAGCGGCGGACGGGUGAGUAAUGUAUGGCUACUGCACGAUUGAGGGGGCUAACUACUGGAAACGGUAGCUACUACCGCAUCCUCUCGGAUUACUCAUAUGGGAUUAGCUAGUAGGUGAGGGAAUGGCUCACCUAGGCGACGAUCCCUAGCUGGUCUGAGAGGAUGAUCAGCCACACUGGAACUGAGACAGGGCCCAGACUCCUAAGGAGGGAGCAGUGGGGAAUAGUGCACAAUGGGCGCAAGCCUGAUGCAGCCAUCCCGCGAGUAUGAAGAAGGCCUUCGGGUGGUAAAGUACUUUUGGCAGAGAAGCGGUAUCUGCAGAAGAAGCACCGGCUAACUACGUGCCAGCAGCCGCGGUAAUAC